rnacentral:ncRNA from 1 species
UCUAAUUGGUAUCUAAUUAACUACUAAAAUUCUAAAUUGACCUUCGAGUGCAAAGGCAGAAGGAAGCUUGACUGCAAGACCCACCCGUCGAGCAGGGACAAAAAUCGACCUUAGUGAUCCGACGGUGCCGAGUGGAAGGGUCUUCACUCAA